AAGCUUUAUUUAAAUGUUUUGAAAACAUUAAAAGGUCCUCCUAAAGCUUAC
rnacentral:tRNA from 1 species